GGCCUGAUGGUCUAGUAGUAUGAUUCCUUGUUAGGGUCUAGUUGCGACAGCGACUUGCGAUAUCGAGGAGGUCCCGGGUUCAAUUCCCGGUCAGGCCC